GAUGAAGAACGUAGCGAAAUGCGAUAAGUAGUGUGAAUUGCAGAAUUCAGUGAAUCAUCGAAUCUUUGAACGCACAUUGCGCCCCUUGGUAUUCCAUGGGGCAUGCCUGUUCGAGCGUCAUUUGUACCUUCAAGCUUUGCUUGGUGUUGGGUGUUUGUCCAUUCUCUUGCAGAGCGACUCGCCUUAAAGUAAUUGGCAGCCAGUGUUUUGGUUUUGAAGCGCAGCACAAGUCGCGAUUCAACGCUAUACGCCAGCUUCCACAAGCCUUUUUCACUUUUGACCUCGGAUCAGGUAGGGAUACCCGCUGAACUUAAGCAUAUCAAUAAGCGGAGGA
rnacentral:misc_RNA from 1 species